GUCAGGGUGUCGGAGUGGUUAACGAGUCAGACUUGAAUCCCUUUUCCAGCUAUCUGAUGCCUUAGGGCGCGCAGGUUCGAAUCCUGUCCCUGACG